rnacentral:rRNA from 1 species
UAAAAGUCGUAACAAGGUUUCCGUAGGUGAACCUGCGGAAGGAUCAUUACAGUAUUCUUUUGCCAGCGCUUAACUGCGCGGCGAAAAACCUUACACACAGUGUCUUUUUGAUACAGAACUCUUGCUUUGGUUUGGCCUAGAGAUAGGUUGGGCCAGAGGUUUAACAAAACACAAUUUAAUUAUUUUUACAGUUAGUCUAAUUUUGAAUUAAUCUUCAAAACUUUCAACAACGGAUCUCUUGGUUCUCGCAUCGAUGAAGAACGCAGCGAAAUGCGAUAAGUAAUAUGAAUUGCAGAUUUUCGUGAAUCAUCGAAUCUUUGAACGCACAUUGCGCCCUCUGGUAUUCCAGAGGGCAUGCCUGUUUGAGCGUCAUUUCUCUCUCAAACCCCCGGGUUUGGUAUUGAGUGAUACUCUUAGUCGGACUAGGCGUUUGCUUGAAAAGUAUUGGCAUGGGUAGUACUGGAUAGUGCUGUCGACCUCUCAAUGUAUUAGGUUUAUCCAACUCGUUGAAUGGUGUGGCGGGAUAUUUCUGGUAUUGUUGGCCCGGCCUUACAACAACCAAACAAGUUUGACCUCAAAUCAGGUAGGAAUACCCGCUGAACUUAAGCAUAUCAAUA